rnacentral:rRNA from 1 species
GAUGAACGCUAGCUACAGGCUUAACACAUGCAAGUCGCGGGGCAGCAUGGGGGUUGCUUGCAAUCCCCGAUGGCGACCGGCGCACGGGUGAGUAACGCGUAUCCAACCUGCCCUUCACCACGGGAUAACCCGGCGAAAGUCGGACUAAUACCGUAUGUUGUCCAUUGACGGCAUCCGAUUUGGACGAAAGGUUUGGCGGUGAAGGAUGGGGAUGCGUCCGAUUUGCUGGACGGUGGGGUGACGGCCCACCGUGGCGACGAUCGGUAGGGGUUCUGAGAGGAAGGUCCCCCACACUGGAACUGAGACACGGUCCAGACUCCUACGGGAGGCAGCAGUGAGGAAUAUUGGUCAAUGGGCGUAAGCCUGAACCAGCCAAGUAGCGUGCAGGAUGACGGCCCUAUGGGUUGUAAACUGCUUUUAUGCGGGGAUAAAGUGGCCCACGUGUGGGUUUUUGCAGGUACCGCAUGAAUAAGGACCGGCUAAUUCCGUG